CACUGUUUGAGGUACCUGGAAUUACAUUUUCUUACCGGAAAAAGGAUUGGUGUUCCUUCCCGUUUUAAUAACGAUCACAAAUCAUGGGUCCAAGCAAGUUGUUUGCUGUCGUGCUGAUCAUCUGUCUAGCUGGCGCUAUGGCGGACGAUUACAAAGAAGAGCCAUGCAAAUGCGAGUGUAAGAAAUCGUGUUCCAAGGGCGAAUGCUACAUCAAGGGUUGGAAGAAAUGUCCAUACGGAAAGAAAUAUUGCUGUAGCUGCAAUACACCGUAUAUACCAUAAACGGUAGCAAUUGAUCUGUAUUGCCAAUGAUACACAUUUGGUAUUAAAAAUACCGAAUUCA